rnacentral:tRNA from 1 species
AUUCAUAUAGUUUAAUAAAACAUUUCAUUUUCAAUGAAAAGAUAAAUUAUAUUUUUUGAAUA